AUUGAACGCUGGCGGCAGGCCUAACACAUGCAAGUCGAACGGUAACAGGAAGAAGCUUGCUUCUUUGCUGACGAGUGGCGGACGGGUGAGUAAUGUCUGUGAAACUGCCUGAUGGAGGGGGAUAACUACUGGAAACGGUAGCUAAUACCGCAUAACGUCGCAAGACCAAAGAGGGGGACCUUCGGGCCUCUUGCCAUCGGGUGUGCCCAGAUGGGAUUAGCUAGUAGGUGGGGUAACGGCUCACCUAGGCGACGAUCCCUAGCUGGUCUGAGAGGAUGACCAGCCACACUGGAACUGAGACACGGUCCAGACUCCUACGGGAGGCAGCAGUGGGGAAUAUUGCACAAUGGGCGCAAGCCUGAUGCAGCCAUGCCGCGUGUAUGAAGAAGGCCUUCGGGUUGUAAAGUACUUUCAGCGGGGAGGAAGGGAGUAAAGUUAAUACCUUUGCUCAUUGACGUUACCCGAAGAAGAAGCACCGGCUAACUCCGUG
rnacentral:rRNA from 1 species